GACGAACGCUGGCGGCGUGCUUAACACAUGCAAGUCGAGCGGUAAGGCCCUUCGGGGUACACGAGCGGCGAACGGGUGAGUAACACGUGGGUGAUCUGCCUCGCACUCUGGGAUAAGCCUGGGAAACUGGGUCUAAUACCGGAUAUGACCACCAAUCGCAUGGUUGGUGGUGGAAAGAUUUAUCGGUGCGAGAUGGGCCCGCGGCCUAUCAGCUUGUUGGUGGGGUAAUGGCCUACCAAGGCGACGACGGGUAGCCGGCCUGAGAGGGCGACCGGCCACACUGGGACUGAGACACGGCCCAGACUCCUACGGGAGGCAGCAGUGGGGAAUAUUGCACAAUGGGCGGAAGCCUGAUGCAGCGACGCCGCGUGAGGGAUGACGGCCUUCGGGUUGUAAACCUCUUUCGACAGGGACGAAGCGCAAGUGACGGUACCUGUAGAAGAAGCACCGGCCAACUACGUG
rnacentral:rRNA from 1 species